rnacentral:rRNA from 1 species
CCCUUAGAUGUUCUGGGCCGCACGCGCGCUACACUGACCAGUGCAACAAGCAUCCGUCCUUGGCCGACAGGCCCGGGCAAUCUUUGAACGCUGGUCGUGAUGGGGAUAGACUUUUGCAAUUUUUGGUCUUCAACGAGGAAUUCCUAGUAAACGCAAGUCAUCAGCUUGCAUUGAUUACGUCCCUGCCCUUUGUACACACCGCCCGUCGCACCUACCGAUUGAAUGGUCCGGUGAAAUCUCGGGACGGCGGCUUGGUCGCUUGCGUCCGACUGCUGAAACUUGAUUAAACCAUAUCAUUUAGAGGAAGGUGAAGUCGUAACA